UUCGGGUCCGCAGUUGAGACGCGAGCGCUCCGCAGUCUAGUUGCGGACGGCGCCACGAGAGAGUGUACGCUCGAGGCGCUCUCGGGUGCUGUCGAGGCCCCCUCCCUCUCUCUCUCUCAUUCGUCUCUCUUUUUUUUUUGGACUUUGCGUGCGCGUCCCGUCCGUAAAGAGCGUCCGGCUGUUUUUUUUCUGUUUUUUUUAUUUAUUAUUUCCGUCUUUCUGUCUCUGUUGUUCUUUGUCUUUCGCUUUUUUUGUUGUUUCUCUUUCUUUUCUGUCCGUUCGUCCGUUUCGUCGUCGUCUUCUCUCUGCGGUUCGUCUCCCAUCCGCCCCGUCAUCGGCCGACGUCAAAUCGCCUUCGGAAUUGUUCGGAAAGAAUUUCGGACCGCCCCCCCCACACCCCUUCGAGUGCCCGGAAGCCAUGGCCGACCUGGAGGAAAAACGACAGUGCCAAAAGACCUCUCUCGUAGACAUCGCUACGCCCACAACACCAUCGCCAGGCCGCCCGCGAUCGCUCGGCGUCCGGGCGCGCGGGCGGGCGGCGAGGACGUGUGUGUUUCUGAAAGGCGGCCUCGCCCGCUGAAAAAGUCUGCGGGUUUGGCACUCCACAUUUGACCACUCCGGCCUGACCUUACCGUCUUCGUGAGGCAAGACCAUGCAGGCAGGCAAGCAAGCAAGCAAGCCACGUCACCACAGAGGCCGUCAUCAUCCCCUCCCCCUUUCCCCCAUCCCCCUCCUCCUCCCUGCGUUGCAAGAGACCUCCUGCAACGCGCCCCCCCUCUUUCGUCUCCCCGUGCCAGAGGGGUAGACUGAAAAGGGGGUGGGAGUAGAGAGAGAGAAAGAGAGGGAGUAGAAGGGGGGGAGGGAGGAGUAGAGAGGUGUGGCAGGACUAACUGUUGCACGUAAUCACCACAAAUGCAGAUCAGAUUGAUGAUGAGAGAAGGAAGAAGGAGAAGAAAAGAGGGGAGCCCCUUAUUCCUCACCCACUCGCCCCCUCUUGUUUAGAAAUGAACUCGGAGUAUGUCAUUAUGAAAAGAAUUUCUCUAACUGAUCAGGUGAAUUCAAAAAUCCUCCGGAAAGGAAAAGUCGUUAACUGGCUCGUUUCAAACUAGCGAUUUCUAACCUAACGGCCAACAAAAGAGAGAAAUAAAAACAAGCAAACAAAGCAGCUAGUUUACUAGUUCGUUUCAUUCUCCUCCUCCUCCCCCCUCUUUCCCUCUCCCUCCCCCCCCCCCCUUCGGUUCCCUCUUCCUCCUUCUCAUUCCUUCCUCCUCUUCCUCUUCCCCCUUCAUUCUUUUCCCUCCCCCUUCCCCCCUUCUUCCUCUCCCCCUCUCCCUCUUCCCUUUCUCCUCCCACCCCUCCCCUCUCCUCUCCCCUCCAUAUCCUUUCCCCCCUUUCCUCUCCCCCUCCCCCCUUCCCCUCUCCUCCUCCCCCUCCCCACCUUCCCCAUCCCCACUCCCCUCUCCCCCUCCCCCCACUACCCACCCACGCCUCCCGCCCCUGCCCAUCACCCCGGCGUCACACCUGCGAGGGCGCCCACCUGUUCAAACACCGCUCAGCCCACGUCGGUAUAGCGGGUGGCGGAGAGUUCCUAGAGGCUGUGGGCGUAAGGCUGUGGGCGUAGAGCGUGGGCGUGGGGCUUGUGGGCGGACACGAGCAGCGCCAAAUAUGGAGGAUGGCAAUGAUGACUUGCAGAAAUUCGCUUUGUCGGUUACCUUCGAUGCCAGCGGGAGUGCCAAGGGACGGGCGGCACUGGGGGCGAAUGGCGAAUGGCGAAUGGCACCCUUUGUUCGGAGGAGGAUAGGCUUGUGCAAAUGGUGAGCAAUGGCUUGGGUUGGUUGUCAUUUUUUUU